AUGCACGCUGGCGGCGUGCCUCAUACAUGCCAGUCGCGCGAACAGACGAGGAGCUUGCUCCUCUGACGUUAGCGGCGGACGGGUGAGUAACACGUGGAUAACCUACCUAUAAGACUGGGAUAACUUCGGGAAACCGGAGCUAAUACCGGAUAAUAUAUUGAACCGCAUGGUUCAAUAGUGAAAGACGGUUUUGCUGUCACUUAUAGAUGGAUCCGCGCCGCAUUAGCUAGUUGGUAAGGUAACGGCUUACCAAGGCGACGAUGCGUAGCCGACCUGAGAGGGUGAUCGGCCACACUGGAACUGAGACACGGUCCAGACUCCUACGGGAGGCAGCAGUAGGGAAUCUUCCGCAGUGGGCGAAAGCCUGACGGAGCAACGCCGCGUGAGUGAUGAAGGUCUUCGGAUCGUAAAACUCUGUUAUUAGGGAAGAACAAAUGUGUAAGUAACUAUGCACGUCUUGACGGUACCUAAUCAGAAAGCCACGGCUAACUACGUG
rnacentral:rRNA from 1 species